rnacentral:rRNA from 1 species
UGGGGAAUAUUGCACAAUGGGCGCAAGCCUGAUGCAGCCAUGCCGCGUGUGUGAAGAAGGCCUUCGGGUUGUAAAGCACUUUCAGCGAGGAGGAAGGGUAGUGUGUUAAUAGCACAUUGCAUUGACGUUGCUGGCAGAAGAAGCACCGGCUAACUCCGUGCCAGCAGCCGCGGUAAUACGGAGGGUGCAAGCGUUAAUCGGAAUUACUGGGCGUAAAGCGCACGCAGGCGGUUUGUUAAGUCAGAUGUGAAAUCCCCGCGCUUAACGUGGGAACUGCAUUUGAAACUGGCAAGCUAGAGUCUUGUAGAGGGGGGUAGAAUUCCAGGUGUAGCGGUGAAAUGCGUAGAGAUCUGGAGGAAUACCGGUGGCGAAGGCGGCCCCCUGGACAAAGACUGACGCUCAGGUGCGAAAGCGUGGGGAGCAAACA